GGUAUUUUAUAUGUACGAGUAUGCCAUAUGGUUCAAGUUCUGUUGAGUCCUCAGAGUUGUGAAUUAGUUCGCUUUUCAAGUACUUUGCUUCUGAAGUUUCCUUGCUCAGCUUACUGCGUCAACGUCUUCCGGUUA